AGGAAGAGAUACCUGAGCCGGCAUGCUCUUGUGCUGUCUCCCUGUCUCCAUGUGAUGCCCUCUGCCAUGUUAUGACACAGCAAGAAGGCCUUCGCCAGAUGCUGGUGCCUUGAGAUUGGACUUCUCAGCCUCCAGAACUGUAUCUGUGCCACACAGAUGUCCCAUCUGCACUUGGGAAAGGAGAGGAUGCUCUGGGAGGAGGACAAGGCUCUUGAGGCAACUUUCUUCUUUCUUUAUCUAACACAAACUUCCCCAGCUCCCUCCAUCUAACCACAGACUCCUCCAGACAUGGUAAGAGGAUGCCAGCUAAAGGCACUGGCACUGAUACCUCUCUGCAUGUGUGUUGAUGGAGAAAAUAAAAAGAUACACACAAAAAAACAUGGACUGAAAUGCCCACCUCCUGACCUUGUACAAGAUGAGGUUUCUCCAACAAGCACUGAAUUGAUUUUUUCUACCAAGGGAUAAGAUAAACAUGCCUCAUGUUUUGCAACUACUUCUUGGCAAGACUCGCAGGACCGACCGCAGCCAACACAUGCCAACCGCGAGAGAAACCUGAGGAUGCGGUUCUGUGUGGCAGCAGCACCCAGGGGCUUUGGCCAGGGCAGGGCCAGGUGCCAGGAACUGAAGCUGCUAGAGGGAAACCAAGAAAAGCUGAGACUUGAAUGUGGAGAUUUGAACUUGUCAACCUACUGAGUCUGCCAGCUCUGGAACCCUCAUGUCUGGACUUCUUGGUGUGUGGUAGCAUCUUCCUUUUGCUCUCUCCACAGAGUAUUCUGAUUCUUGGAAACAAACGUAUCCCAUCUGACUCAUUGGACAUCUGAUUCCAGUUGUAUCAAACAGGCUCAGACAGCUUGUCUUUGCCUCUGUUGGCUUAUGGUGGACAAUUGUUAGUUUUGUUGUAAAGUCUUUACUCCAAUCAAAAAUCCUGGAAACACCAUGUUAAUUUAUGGUAUUUUGUUAUAGCAGCCCGAAAAGAAUAAG